AACUCGCCUGCAUGAAGCUGGAAUUGCUAGUAAUCGCGGAUCAGCAAGCCGCGGUGAAUACGUUCCCGGGCCUUGUACACACCGCCCGUCACACCAUGAGAGUCGGGAACACCCGAAGUCCGUAGUCUAACCGCAAGGGGGGCGCGGCCGAAGGUGGGUCCGGUAAUUGGGGUGAAGUCGUAACAAGGUAAC
rnacentral:rRNA from 1 species